CCUACGGGUGGCAGCAGUGGGGAAUAUUGCACAAUGGGCGGAAGCCUGAUGCAGCGACGCCGCGUGAGGGAUGACGGCCUUCGGGUUGUAAACCUCUUUCAGCAGGGACGAAGCUUUUUGUGACGGUACCUGCAGAAGAAGCGCCGGCCAACUACGUGCCAGCAGCCGCGGUAAGACGUAGGGCGCAAGCGUUGUCCGGAUUUAUUGGGCGUAAAGAGCUCGUAGGCGGCUUGUCGCGUCGUUCGUGAAAACCUGUGGCUCAACUGCAGGCUUGCGGUCGAUACGGGCAGGCUAGAGUUCGGUAGGGGAGACUGGAAUUCCUGGUGUAGCGGUGAAAUGCGCAGAUAUCAGGAGGAACACCGGUGGCGAAGGCGGGUCUCUGGGCCGAUACUGACGCUGAGGAGCGAAAGCGUGGGGAGCGAACAGGAUUAGAUACCCUUGUAGUC
rnacentral:rRNA from 1 species